rnacentral:piRNA from 1 species
UAACCAUUGUAGCAGUACUUCCACUGUCCCA